UUCUGAUGAAGACCAAAAGGGUGUUGAGCCCUCUUUAUGACGACGCUGUAGCUAUUUCCCUCAUCAUUGCAAGGUUUUAAAAAAGGAUUUUAGUACAUAAUGAAAGCUCGGCUGAUGCCUUAUUUUGUAUGCCUUCCAAAGGAUGAGCGCUCCUCUGGCCAGAUUCAUAGGAGAUUCUACCCCAAGAAAGUACUAUGAAGCUAAAUCCUUUC
rnacentral:lncRNA from 1 species